UGGGGAAGAGGAAGCUGUCUCAUGUCUCUUUUUUAAGGGCACUAAUCCUGUUUUUAGGGCCUCACUCACAUGACCUAUAAUCUGCCAAAGGUCCCAUCUGAGACAUCAUCACACAGGAGACUAAGUCACCAAACACCGAGUUCCCGGUGAAUCUGUGACAGCCACAAAGCUUCCCGCGGCACCGUGGGGUGAAGAAUAGUUCUUUGAUUCAUCAGUUAUCUUUCCUGCAUGGCCAUUUCUUCAUGUCAUCAAUGAACAACACUCGGAAUUCGUCCUUCCCGGUCUCCCCACAGAACCAGGCGCCCCGGAAGUAGAUGGAGCACUCUCCGAUGCCUGAAAGGAAAGCGCGACUACUUUGAACACAUUUUCCCAUCUCCUUCACUGCUCCAUGCUCAUGGAUCUUUUGUGUCUGUCUGCAGGAAGCCUGAUGACAGUCGGGCAAACAUUUCGUUUGCUUCCUUAAAGGUUUUCUUACUAUUUGCUACAAGAAAGCUAAGAUUUCCUGGAUUUGGGGGAAAAUGGCACGUUUACAAUCUUUGCUUUCCCUAACAUCUUACAAUCUUUAAUCUGACGUUUCUCUCUAGGCAUCUUCUGGUGGGUGCAGGAUCCGAUGGAGGAGUGAUGGGACCUCAGGGCCGUGUCCAGGCUCUUCCGGUCAGUCGGUGGCCUCCACAAACGCCAGCCAGCCAGCCCAGUGCGAGCUUCUGCUUGGCCAACAUGUGGCAGUUAUGAUGCUGCAGUUGGGAGAGGGGUGCAGGAGCCCGUGGGAAGAAACCCAGUUUCUAGCGCCGAGGGGCUCAGUAUUCCCAAGUCACCUGUGAGAUGAGCUCUGAGCACCUGCCCACACUCCUGAGAUGUAAAACCCCAUCACACGCAGUGGCAGAUGGUUAAGACAACAACCAACCAACUCGUCAGAUAAAAGGUUCACUCCACUUAAAGUGGAUGAUUUUUAAAUUUGUUUGUAAAACCUUUGAUAUUUGGCUACUAAGAAAUUAUAAGAUCCCCGUGGACAGGCAACUAAUUUUCUACCUUUCCUGGUUCUUUAAAAAUAAAUAAUUAUCACAGGUACUAAUUCAAGCUCUCAGAAUUGCACUUUUGAUUCCUAAUAAAUGCCAAAAUAGAUCCUAUCAAAUAUU